GAUGAAGAACGUAGCGAAAUGCGAUAAGUAGUGUGAAUUGCAGAAUUCAGUGAAUCAUCGAAUCUUUGAACGCACAUUGCGCCCCUUGGUAUCCCGAGGGGCAUGCCUGUUCGAGCGUCAUUUCACCACUCAAGCCUGGCUUGGUGUUGGGCGACGUCCCCUUUGGGGACGCGCCUCGAAACGCUCGGCGGCGUGGCACCGGCUUUAAGCGUAGCAGAAUCUUUCGCUUUGGAAGUCGGGGCCCCGUCUGCCGGAAGGCCUACUCGCAAGGUUGACCUCGGAUCAGGCAGGGAUACCCGCUGAACUUAAGCAUAUCAAUAAGCGGAGGA
rnacentral:misc_RNA from 1 species